GGACACCUGGAUUAAUCAGCUCAUCCUAUCAUGAAAGACAGGAAACAAGGAGCCUCCUGAAAUUCAGGAAGUUGGUGAAGUUGUGCAUAGAGUCCAUUUUUCACUACCCUUCCAUAUGCCGUAUCUGGAGCUAUGUCCUGGAUAUGAUGGGGAGGGGCUUCAGCAAAGCUGUCUGCUGAUUGGGCCAUGACAAGCACUACUGCUUAGGAAUCUUUAAAAAGUUUGACGGCAGAGAACACUCUGUUAGCCACCUAACUUCUUCCAAAAAAUCUACCGAACAUUGGACUUCACAGGAGGUGCAACUGCAACUGUCCAUCACUGUAAAGGAGAUUAAACAGGAAUUAUUCAGCGCCGUUAGAAAUUAAAAAACUUUCCGUAUCGCCUCGGAGUGGCUGCUCUCCCUUGGCUCCAGACCCCUGCACAAAAUGCAAGAAACUGCGGAGAGAUUACAGAAAAAUAAUGGAUCACAACAGCUGCAACGGAAGAACCGGCAGUGGUUUGACGCCAUAGACCAGUGAGUCAAGGUCAGAGGAGGCUGUCUGGACAGCGCUGCAGCCCGGCUCCAAUCUGAUGCAGGGCAAUGGACGUGUCGCUCCUGGGCCAGAAGUCGUCGUCCUCUGGGCCCAGGGGUGGAGAAGGGAGGUCCGUCAGCAUCCACACGCUGUCACCCAGACAUCCACACCUUGGAUUGUCCUGGAUGGGAUUCUCCUGCUGUGUUAUCAACACUCAGCAGCUCCAGGGAGGAGGCUCGAGCACCAGUGACACCUGACGGUGCUCCUGAACGAAAUGCAGGCUUCAG